GAUGAACGCUAGCUACAGGCUUAACACAUGCAAGUCGAGCGACCGGCGCACGGGUGAGUAACACGUAUCCAACCUUCCCUUUACUCGGGGAUAGCCUUUCGAAAGAAAGAUUAAUACCCGAUCUAAAGGAUGGGGAUGCGUUCCAUUAGGUUGUUGGUGAGGUAACGGCCCACCAAGCCUUCGAUGGAUAGGGGUUCUGAGAGGAAGGAACACCACAGUGGAACUGAGACACGGUCCAAAAUGGUACGGGAGGCAGGAGAGAGGAAUAAAGGGGAAUGAGCGUUAGCGUGAACCAGCCAAGUAGCGUGAAGGAGGAAGGCAUAUGGGUCGUAAACUUCUAUUAUAGAAGAAUAGGUAUUAAAUGAAUAAGGAUCGGCUAACUACGUGCCAGCAGCCGCGGUAAUUC
rnacentral:rRNA from 1 species